AAUGAACGUUGGCGGCGUGGAUUAGGCAUGCAAGUCGAGCGGGUAUAGCAAUAUAUCAGCGGCGAAAGGGAGAGUAACGCGUAGCUACGUACCCCGGAGUCCGGAAUAGCCAGCCGAAAGGCUGGGUAAUGCCGGAUGAUGUCUCCGGACUAAAGGUGUGAUUCCGCUUUGGGAGCGGGCUGCGUUGUACUAGCUUGUUGGUAGGGUAAUGGCCUACCAAGGCUACGAUGUUUAGGGGGCCUGAGAGGGUGAUCCCCCACACUGGUACUGAGACACGGACCAGACUCCUACGGGAGGCU
rnacentral:rRNA from 1 species